AUGAACGCUGGCGGCGUGCCUAAUACAUGCAAGUCGCGCGAACAGACGAGGAGCUUGCUCCUCUGACGUUAGCGGCGGACGGGUGAGUAACACGUGGAUAACCUACCUAUAAGACUGGGAUAACUUCGGGAAACCGGAGCUAAUACCGGAUAAUAUAUUUAACCGCAUGGUUCAAUAGUGAAAGACGGUUUUGCUGUCACUUAUAGAUGGAUCCGCGCCGCAUUAGCUAGUUGGUAAGGUAACGGCUUACCAAGGCAACGAUGCGUAGCCGACCUGAGAGGGUGAUCGGCCACACUGGAACGGAGACACGGUCCAGACUCCUACGGGAGGCAGCAGUAGGGAAUCUUCCGCAAUGGGCGAAAGCUUGACGGAGCAACGCCGCGUGAGUGAUGAAGGUCUUCGGAUCGUAAAACUCUGUUAUUAGGGAAGAACAAAUGUGUAAGUAACUAUGCACGUCUUGACGGUACCUAAUCAGAAAGCCACGGCUAACUACGUG
rnacentral:rRNA from 1 species